GGUGGCUCAGUGGUAGAGCUCUUGCCUUGCAUGCAUGAGGCCCUGGGUUCGAUACCCCAGCACCA
rnacentral:tRNA from 1 species